UACGUAGGGUGCAAGCGUUAAUCGGAAUUACUGGGCGUAAAGCGUGCGCAGGCGGCUUUGCAAGACAGAUGUGAAAUCCCCGGGCUUAACCUGGGAACUGCAUUUGUGACUGCAUGGCUGGAGUGCGGCAGAGGGGGAUGGAAUUCCGCGUGUAGCAGUGAAAUGCGUAGAUAUUGGAAAGAACACCGAUGGCGAAGGCACUCUACUGGGCUAUUACUGACACUCAGAGACGAAAGCUAGGGGAGCAAAUGGG
rnacentral:rRNA from 1 species